ACCUAGGUGGCUCAGCUGGUUAAGCGUCUGACUUUAGCUCAGAUCACGAUCUCACAGUUUGUGAGUUCAAACCCCACAUUGGGCU
rnacentral:tRNA from 1 species